UGGGGAUUGAGGAAGAAGAGCGGAAUGGAGGUGGGUUAAGCAUUUGGGAAUCAACGAGGCAGAGUAGGGAUUGCGAGGGGAAGAGACGGCGGCGAGAAGAAGAGAGAAAUUGGUGUUGACAUCGAAAUCGAAAUGGAGUUGUCUCUUUCGUUUGGUUUUGGAAGAAGAGGUGUGGCUAUGGCUACAAAGCUUCUUCCUCUGCUGCUGCUGCUCCUCCAUUGACGCGCUCUGUGAUUGAAUGAAUUGCGAGUUCCUUCGCCAUGG
rnacentral:misc_RNA from 1 species